rnacentral:rRNA from 1 species
UACGUAGGGUGCGAGCGUUGUCCGGAAUUAUUGGGCGUAAAGAGCUUGUAGGCGGUUUGUCGCGUCUGCUGUGAAAUUUCGGGGCUCAACCCCGAACUUGCAGUGGGUACGGGCAGACUAGAGUGUGGUAGGGGAGACUGGAAUUCCUGGUGUAGCGGUGAAAUGCGCAGAUAUCAGGAGGAACACCGAUGGCGAAGGCAGGUCUCUGGGCCACUACUGACACUGAGAAGCGAAAGCAUGGGGAGCGAACAGG